UUUCACUGUUCAAUCUCCCCCUCCUCCACCAAGAUCCCAAACAGGUGAUCAAAAUAUUUACCCAAAACCCAGGUCUCUUCCUAGAGGGGAUUUCUCUACUUCCCUGCGCCGCCAGCUCAGGCCCACUCUGAACCCAGCCUGCACUGGAGCCCUCCGGGACGUGCACAGAAGCACCCCAGGCUGUGGCUGGAAGCAGAGGUGUUUUCUAAGGCUCCGGACCUUGAGGACCUUCCAGACAGCAGAUCAGCUCCUCUGAACAAGCUGAUGACUCCAAACCUCAGUCAGCUGCCAG
rnacentral:lncRNA from 1 species